GUGACCAGGAUUUGUGGUUCAAAUGUGCAGGAACCCCUCUCAAAAAUUAGCGCGCGGAUUACGCGAUUACACACUGUUUGAAUGGAAUACACGGCAUCAUACAUCAGCGACAAGAUCUCCUAUUAUCGGAUGCCAUUUGCAUUCAGUUUUGUAGCUGACAAGUGAUGGGAAGUCCGUGUCAUUUCCACAAAUCGGUUCGUUCGAACGGAUCGUUAAAAAGAACAGGUGUCCAUCAAGGCGGUAGAAGAGGAGGUUUGAAGGUGCAGGUCCCAGCGCAGUGACGGGGAGUCAGCAUCUUACACGAGAAAUGGUGUAGUGCGUCGUGAGCUUCUGGGAA